rnacentral:rRNA from 1 species
UAGGGAAUCUUCCGCUAUGGGCGAAAGCUUGACGGAGCAACGCCGCGUGAGUGAUGAAGGUCUUCGGAUCGUAAAACUCUGUUAUUAGGGAAGAACAAAUGUGUAAGUAACUAUGCACGUCUUGACGGUACCUAAUCAGAAAGCCACGGCUAACUACGUGCCAGCAGCCGCGGUAAUACUUAGGUGGCAAGCGUUAUCCGGAAUUAUUGGGCGUAAAGCGCGCGUAGGCGGUUUUUUAAGUCUGAUGUGAAAGCCCACGGCUCAACCGUGGAGGGUCAUUGGAAACUGGAAAACUUGAGUGCAGAAGAGGAAAGUGGAAUUCCAUGUGUAGCGGUGGAAUGCGCAGAGAUAUGGAGGAACACCAGUGGCGAAGGCGACUUUCUGGUCUGUAACUGACGCUGAUGUGCGAAAGCGUGGGGAUCAAACAGG